rnacentral:lncRNA from 1 species
UUCUCGCAUGAGUUACUUCAGCGAUCGAUCGGAUGCGUUGUGAUUACGGCAGCUCUUUCGGUGCGUGUUAGCAGUGGGGAAAGCUGCGACAGUGCAAUGGUGUACGGUGAAGCGCAGCGAAGCCUGUGCGACAGUGUGGUUAUCAAGCGGGGAUCGGCGCCGGUGUAUCGACGGCAACUUGCACUCGACGGCAACUUGCUCUCGACAAGCCUGCAAUGUGUGUUUGUGUGCCGGUAACAGUUCGUUCGCUUGACUUUCCAGUCUCUUUGUUGGGAGCUGUGCGACAUUUCGGAUUGACAGUGUUUUGGCACGUUACUUCAGUGACCCCAAGUACGUACGGAAACGUAUGAACUGCUCGCUGAGUCCGAUUCUUGCUUCGCCAUUGGUUAGCCCAUACGCUUCUAUUUUCUUGUGAGCAAUCUAGUGUUCGAGAGUGAAAUGAUGUUCGUUGUGAACAGUGGUGCUGUGUUGACAUUCCAAGACUUGUGAAGAAGCUGUGCUCGUGUGACCGAAAAUUGAAAGACAGCGUUGAUAACUGUUUUGCACUGCUAAGUUGCGGUGGUGGAGCUUGGCGCUUUUGCUUGUUAACUCGUCACUUCUCCUUUUUGUGAUAACCAUAGUCAUAGCGCUGUGAUGUGAUCAACCAAAGCUGCGAGAUGCUACAUUCUGUUGUGGAUUGUGUUACUUUGGCAGCGCGCCUAGACUGUUCUUCGGUAAAAACUUGAGAGUUCUAUGUGGCAGCGAGAGCCCGUGAACGUCAAGCUUCCCUCCGGCCCCCAGAAAGAGCAAAUAUUUCUCCGGUGCCCAGCUUUAGACGAAGUCGUAGGCCAAUACCGCCUAACUACAGUUUUCCGAGUUCAUCUGGCCAACAUUUUGCACGGCACUAGAGCCUUGACAACUGCUGGUCAUGGCCAGUUCUUACAGGUACACGCCAGGCCAGCCCUUCAUUGCUAUCAUCGGCAGCUUCCAGUCUGCAGAUGCUCUUUGCCUGUUGGCCGUAGAGCACACUUGAUUCCUCAUGACACAGAAGGCUACUAAAUGCUGCCAUCGACACUGGCACAUCAAUCCUCAUCAUGACUUGGAGCACCUAAACAAAAAUAGAAAGGGCACGUGCUCCCUAACUGUGCAAGUCUAUGUCACUGCUGGGACUGUUAUCAUUCAGCAUAUGUGGCCUGGAACCAUGCAUGGCAGUUUCAUCUGGAAGGACUGCGAUCUGCUUGGGAGCUUCGAGGGCAUAAAACUGCCUAAGAGCUGGCUGCAAAGUGACGUUCAGUGUGUUUCAAAGCCUUGGUCCUCAUGUCUCCGUCUAUGGCUAGCCUACUUCAGCAGCAGUGCGAUGCAGCCAGCACACAUGCAAGCCAAGUCAUGGAGCGCUCCUUUGGUGUUCUGUGCAGAACGCAGCAUAUCCAUCUGGCAAUGCACUGGUAUCAACAAUAAUGGCGAGUGUUAGUGGCACCUGUAGGAGCCCGUUGUGUUUGUUGCGUAUGAUUAUUUCCCCUGAUGAAGUGCAUUUUUGAAAGGAUUUCUUCGUUUGGAAUAAUAGAUGUCAGUAAGAAGCACACUCAUAACCAUCAAGUGUUUGUCUCCUAGACUGCCCUAUUGUUCCUAUACGUGGUACGGUGAGCUGACUAUGUUAUACAGCCUUAAAGUUAUGAACAUUGGCUGUUGUGUUGUAAUGCAGUCUAACUUGUGUUUCUUAGUGAACUUAUUUGCGGUCUGCUUCUUGCACCUAGUGUAAAGUCAAAAUAGAAGAAACUUUAUUGGCUUUAUAUACCUUGCAGAAGUUUCAUGCCUUCAUCUAUAACAUUGUAGUUUUGCUCUUGUAUCAUAAUAAAAUAUAUUUUUGGUCUUCACUGUUUGUGUGUGUGUUGAGGCCUGUCAUUGACUUCUGAAAAUACGACAUCUGUAAAUAUGAGCACAUAUUAAACAACUUUCCACUCUUGCAUGUAGCAUGGUUGUAACAAUGACCUGUAUUUUUCUAAGUUCUAGCACUAACAAGGGAUGUACAGUGUAUGACAGUCAUGUACAGUGUAUCAAAAACAGAGCACGGAAGACCAACAAGUACAAUGGGACUGCCAGUGACUGUUCUCCUGCUCAAAAUUUACGGCAGCAGAAAGAGCACAUUGGAUGUCAGGAGCAGUUUGAAUUGUAUACGUAGUAACAUUCUGUGCAGCUGCAGCUUAACUUCUUAGCAGUGCAUUAUUCAGCAUUCAGUUCCUUUGCUUGCAUUCCAAAUUAUUUAAAUUUUGCAUGGAAAAUACCAAACUAUGACAGUAAAUUAAAGGCUGCUGUAGUGUUGGUGGGCAAAUAUUUUUGAGCUGAAGUUUUUAACAUGCGUGUUAAGUCCCUGCAUAUCUUUGCAUUUACCUGUCAUAAAUCACAGCAUCUAUGGUCGGCAAUGGUAACUGUGUUUGCAUUCUUUGUAGUACAAGAAGUAAAGCCAUGGAUGCGGUAAUCAUGUACUCAGCCGAUGUAAUCCUUCAGUGUACACUCAUUUGUACAGCACCAAUGAUGCCAUGAGUGUGUAAGCUCUGGGAAGUGAAUCUAUGUGAAUUGUUUUAUUUGGAAGGACGAGGAUCAUCAUUACUCUUGUAUAUCUUAACAGUAGAUUUUAGUGCUUGUUUAUUGUUAUCUCACUGCCUGUCCAUCUUUCAACAGUCUACUUCUCUGUUUCUAGUGUGUAAGUUAAACUUUUUUAAUGUAUACUUUGCUCAGAUAGGUUUGUUCAUGUUAUAAUUGUGUACUAUGCAAGUGACUUAUCAUCCAUCCAGCUUCAUUUAGACUAGAAAUAACAGUAUUUAAUUAAUUUAUAUAUAGCUAUAGUAUGCAUUUACUUAUCUUUUUCUAGGUGUCUGUACAAUUGUUUAGCCCUACAAAGGUACAGGUAUACUCUAAUAUUGAAGCUGGCAUCUUAAAAUACUUUGUUAGAGAAGCAAUAAUGUGUUUAUAACCAUCAAUACUAUGCUCAGAUGAGCUGUGAAAACCCUAUGGAAAUGUAUUUACAUUUUUCUAACUCUGUGAAGGUAAUUGUUCUUAUGUUCUUUCAUUGUUGUCUCUGUUUCAUGCAAAUGACACAUAAUUACUUCACAGUGGCAUAGUAUUACUUGUUAUUUUACACAUAUGUGCUGAACAAGAUCGCAGUUGAGGCCAGCAGCAUGACCUACAUGCAGUGCACUAGAGCAUCGCCUCACAUAAUUAGUGUACAGUCUUUGCCCACCAGUGAACUGAAUAUUUUUCAAGCAGACUAAAAGACAGCUGUAUGGAAACUGUGUUGAUGUGCAAACUUUGAAGUCUUCUUGAGCAGUGUUUUUCAUCAUUUUUGUCCAAGUGAACUAGCUGCCCAAAGCCACAACUGGUGGGAAUGUGGUGGUUUCCUCUCUCCAAAACCACUCCUACCAGCUGCCUCAAUGUUAGCGUUGGGUGAUUCUCGAACUGGAAAAAUAAUUGGUCUUUGUUUUCUUGGCCGAAAGGGUCACUUCCCUCGUUGAACCACCGCUACGCACCAGGCAAGAAACUUUUAGCUAAAUAAAGUUGAUUCUACUUUUGAGAAGUGUUUUCGGGAAACAAAAUGGCGCCUAUAGCUGUCAAUAUAAACACUGUUCGCACCAAGGAGCUUAGUAGCCUAUAUUUGUAUUAUUCAUGUGUUGUCAGAAUUUCUUUGCACUGUGCCAAAUUUCAGCCCAAGUGUCCUUACAUGCUUUGUUAGUGUGUUGUGAAUGAGCCAUGCUAUUUAAAUAAACAGAGUGAUAUGGCAGACAUUUACAAAUUAUUGAUGCACAGUCCUUUUCUUUAGCAUGACAUUUUCAUGGGCUUUAUUCUUGUGUUUCUUAUAAAAACUGCUUGUCACUGAACAGCAGAAACUAUGCAUCAAGCUUUUGAGAGAUAAUUCGAGAAACACCGUGUUCAUAUAUAACACUGCUGGUGGAUUCCUCUGGUAAGUUACAUUCUGUAUGUUCAAGAUGAGUGUAUUAGAAUUGUUGUUUUAUAGCCAUUCAUUUUAAUAUUUACACUUGAGUGCAGGUAUGUAUUCCAGAAGGACUUGUUUUUGGGCUAGUUGGUGCAUACUUGGUGCAGAAGACUGAGGCGCAAAAAACAUGACGUGAAGCAGGAAGAGCAGGAGAAAAGACAGAACAGCGCCAACUACCAACUGUUUAAUGACCGUCUAGAAAACGCACUGGAAGGAACACAAAACCGCGCAUGCGUUCACAGCCAACAAACAUCGCACAGCGUCAUGAACAAGGCACUAAGUUAUCCAAAAAAUGCAUUUCUGUUGGGUACAACACAAUAGAUGUAUCACUGAUACAGUCGGGCCCCUUUUUUUUGAUAAAGUAGGCUUCCAAGAGCUGUUUAUUUUUUGCUCCUACCAAGAAUCACCGUUUUUUCAAACAAUGGCACACAUCCACAGGCUUUACAAUGCACUGGAAGAUGCGCAUGCUCGCUUUUGCCUAAACUAUUGGCAUGCUCCC